rnacentral:lncRNA from 1 species
GUUCCAGGCGGUAAGGAAGAAGUUCGUGACUGAGUUGAAAGAGCUGCGACAGAAGGAGCAGAGCCCGCACGUGGUCCAGAGCAUCAUCAGCUUGAUCAUGGGGAUGAAGUUCUUCCGAGUGAUGAUGUACCCUGUGGAAGACUUCGAAGCCUCGUUUCAGUUCAUGCAGGAAUGCGCUCAGUAUUUCUUAGAAGUGAAAGACAAGGAUAUAAAACAUGCACUUGCUGGUUUAUUUGUGGAGAUCCUUAUCCCCGUAGCCCUAGGCUGUUAAAAAUGAAGUCAAUGUCCCCUGUUUGAAAAAUUUUGUGGAGAUGCUGUAUCAGACUACAUUUGAACUAAGUUCCAGAAAGAAGCAUUCACUGGCUUUGUACCCACUAAUUACCUGUCUUUUAUG